CUUUCUUUGCUGGCGACCGGCGCACGGGUGAGUAACACGUAUCCAACCUGCCCUUUACUCGGGGAUAGCCUUUCGAAAGAAAGAUUAAUACCCGAUAGUAUAAUGAUUCCGCAUGGUUUCAUUAUUAAAGGAUUCCGGUAAAGGAUGGGGAUGCGUUCCAUUAGGUUGUUGGUGAGGUAACGGCUCACCAAGCCUUCGAUGGAUAGGGGUUCUGAGAGGAAGGUCCCCCACAUUGGGACUGAGACACGGUCCAA
rnacentral:rRNA from 1 species